rnacentral:rRNA from 1 species
UGCCAGCAGCCGCGGUAAUACGGAGGGGGCAAGCGUUGUUCGGAAUUACUGGGCGUAAAGGGCGCGUAGGCGGCCGAUCAAGUCGGGUGUGAAAGCCCUCGGCUCAACCGAGGAAUUGCACCCGAUACUGAUUGGCUAGAGUCCGGGAGGGGGUAGCGGAAUUCCCAGUGUAGCGGUGAAAUGCGUAGAUAUUGGGAAGAACACCAGUGGCGAAGGCGGCUACCUGGACCGGAACUGACGCUGAGGCGCGAAAGCUAGGGGAGCGAAUGGGAUUAGAUA